rnacentral:rRNA from 1 species
UACGUAGGGGGCAAGCGUUGUCCGGAUUUAUUGGGCGUAAAGAGCGUGUAGGCGGCCAUACAGGUCAGCUGUGAAAACUCGAGGCUCAACCUCGAGACGUCGGUUGAAACCGUAUGGCUAGAGUCCGGAAGAGGAGAGUGGAAUUCCCGGUGUAGCGGUGAAAUGCGCAGAUAUCGGGAAGAACGCCCAUGGCGAAGGCAGCUCUCUGGGACGGUACUGACGCUGAGACGCGAAAGCGUGGGGAGCGAACAGG